CCUACGGGGUGCAGCAGUGGGGAAUAUUGGACAAUGGGCGAAAGCCUGAUCCAGCCAUGCCGCGUGUGUGAAGAAGGCCUUCGGGUUGUAAAGCACUUUCAGUGGGGAAGAAAGCCUUGGGGCUAAUACCCUCGAGGAAGGACAUCACCCACAGAAGAAGCACCGGCUAACUCCGUGCCAGCAGCCGCGGUAAUACGGAGGGUGCGAGCGUUAAUCGGAAUUACUGGGCGUAAAGCGCGCGUAGGCGGUCUGAUAAGCCGGUUGUGAAAGCCCCGGGCUCAACCUGGGAACGGCAUCCGGAACUGUCAGGCUAGAGUGCAGGAGAGGAAGGUAGAAUUCCCGGUGUAGCGGUGAAAUGCGUAGAGAUCGGGAGGAAUAUCAGUGGCGAAGGCGGCCUUCUGGACUGACACUGACGCUGAGGUGCGAAAGCGUGGGUAGCAAACAGGAUUAGAUACCCGAGUAGUC
rnacentral:rRNA from 1 species